rnacentral:rRNA from 1 species
UACGAAGGGGGCUAGCGUUGCUCGGAAUUACUGGGCGUAAAGGGCGCGUAGGCGGAUGUCUAAGUCAGAGGUAAAAGCCCAGGGCUCAACCUUGGAACUGCCUUUGAUACUGGACAUCUUGAGUACGGGAGAGGUGAGUGGAACUCCGAGUGUAGAGGUGAAAUUCGUAGAUAUUCGGAAGAACACCAGUGGCGAAGGCGACUCACUGGCCCGUUACUGACGCUGAUGCGCGAAAGCCAGGGGAGCGAACGGG